AAUUCUCUUGGGAAUGAAGUUCUCCCUUGGUGAAUACCUAAACCGCUGAUAAGGCUGAUGACUUCUGUGAGCAC
rnacentral:ncRNA from 2 species